rnacentral:rRNA from 1 species
GACGAACGCUGGCGGCGUGCUUAACACAUGCAAGUCGUACGGGAAGGCCCUUUCGGGGGUACACGAGUGGCGAACGGGUGAGUAACACGUGAGUAACCUGCCCACAACUUUGGGAUAACGCUAGGAAACUGGUGCUAAUACUGGAUAUGUGCUCCUGCUGCAUGGUGGGGGUUGGAAAGCUCCGGCGGUUGUGGAUGGACUCGCGGCCUAUCAGCUUGUUGGUGGGGUAGUGGCCUACCAAGGCGGCGACGGGUAGCCGGCCUGAGAGGGUGACCGGCCACAUUGGGACUGAGAUACGGCCCAGACUCCUACGGGAGGCAGCAGUGGGGAAUAUUGCACAAGGGGCGCAAGCCUGAUGCAGCAACGCCGCGUGCGGGAUGACGGCCUUCGGGUUGUAAACCGCGUUCAGCAGGGACGAAGCUUUUUGUGGCGGUACCUGCAGAAGAAGCACCGGCUAACUACGUG